UUGUUUGGACAUGCUCAGUUGUGAUGGUCAUCUUGUUUUCGGAGUCACACUGUAUCCAGAAGGUAAGGAUGGCUCACUCAAAUUUUUCAAUACAUGGUAAAGCAGGUAUUAUUGUUUAAUAUGUCCCAUAUUUCAUGUCUACAGACGACUCUGUCUAAGAACUGGGGGCCGCAGUCAAUGCUGUAUCUGAAGGGCAAAUAUGGCAGAAGAUAUGUACCAGACAGUGAUGACAAUAUUUAUAACUCAGGGUUAAAAAGCUGGUACACAGUUAUUAAAGGUAUGAAAAAAAACUUGUACAUCAUUGUCAUCAGUGCAUUAUCUCCUGUUAAAAUAUCAGUGAAGUUAUCAUGGUGUGUUUUCCUGGUUUAAUGUAGAAUUCCAGAAGUUGAAGAACGUGGCCGCUGGCAGACCUACACAUUUCUUCACAGAGGAGAAUGUUCUGAUACAUUAUACAGAGUAGGAGGGUGAUUUUUUUUAAGGUAUUAAAAAGAUUUGAUGAUGAUGAUUUAAUUAAUCCAGUGUAUAGUCAGUAAGACCCUGAUUUACAAGGACACCAAAACAAAACACCAAUCAAUACCAGUGUGCGCCAAUUUGUGCAUUUCACGAACUCUGUUUGAUGGUCAGCAUGUAUAUAGUGAGGUUUAGAAGUUUGGGUACCCAUGAAUAAAACACAUUGAUUUGUACA
rnacentral:lncRNA from 1 species